rnacentral:rRNA from 1 species
AACGAACGCUGGCGGCAGGCUUAACACAUGCAAGUCGAGCGCACCGCAAGGGGAGCGGCAGACGGGUGAGUAACGCGUGGGAACCUACCCAUCACUACGGAACAAACCCGGGAAACUGGAGCUAAUACCGUAUUCGUACUUGGGGAGAAAGAUUUAUAGGUGUUGGAUGAGCCCGCGUGGAAUUGCGUAGUUGGUGGGGUAAUGGCCCACCAAGGCGACGAUCCAUAGCUGGUCUGAUAGGAUGAUCAGCCACACCGGGACUGAGACACGGCCCAAACUCCUGCGGGAGGCAGCAGUGGAGAAUAUUGGACAAUGGGGGCAAGCCUGAGCCAGCCAUGCCGCGUGAGUGAUGAAGGCCCUAGGUUUGUAAAGCUCUUUCACCGGUGAAGAUAAUGACGGUAACCGGAGAAGAAGCCCCGGCUAACUUCGUGCCAGCAGCCGCCGUAA